GAGACUCUGUGCGCGUGCAUAUCAAUAAGCGGAGGAAAAGAAACUAACAAGGAUUCCCCUAGUAACGGCGAGUGAAGCGGGAAGAGCUCAAAUUUGAAAUCUUCAAGGGUUUCCCUUGACGAAUUGUAGUUUAAAGAAGUGUUUUCUGUUAGAGAGGUGGUAAAAGUUCUUUGGAAUAGGACAUCAUAGGGGGUGAGAAUCCCGUAUUUGAUCACUUUCUACUAACGUUGUGAUACACUUUCAAAGAGUCGGAUUGUUUGGGAAUGCAGUCCAAAAUGGGUGGUAAAUUUCAUCUAAAGCUAAAUACUGGCGAGAGACCGAUAGCGAACAAGUACCGUGAGGGAAAGAUGAAAAGAACUUUGAAAAGAGAGUUAAACAGUACGUGAAAUUGUCAAAAGGGAAGCGUUUGACACCAGUGUUGUUUUUCCGAAAAUCAAUUACGAAUGUUUUGUUUUUAAGAAGUUAUGACUUCAUCGGCUUGCUUCUUUCUUUACGAAACUUUCUUAAUGCACUUUUCGGUUAACAAGUCAACAUCAAUUUCUUUUGUUGUAAAAGGGUAUGAGGAAGGUGGCUUUCUUUUCGGAGAAAGUGUUUAUAGCCUUGUGCCUCUGCAAUCGGAGAGAUUGAGGUCUGCAGCGUAGAUCCUUCGGGGUUAGAUACAUUUGUGCUAAGUUAUAGCUUUUCAUAGACAACUUGUUGACUAUGCUCAGUCAUGUAGCUUACUCGCUUGUGCUAUUUUACCUACGCUUAGGAUGUUGAACUCUAUCACACACAG
rnacentral:rRNA from 1 species